GAUGAACGCUGGCGGCGUGCCUAAUACAUGCAAGUCGAGCGAACGGACGAGAAGCUUGCUGGUCUGAUGUUAGCGGCGGACGGGAGAGUAACACGUGGAUAACCUACCUAUAAGACGGGGAUAACUUCGGGAAACCGGAGCUAAUACCGGAGAAUAUUUUGAACCGCAUGGGUCAAAAGUGAAAGACGGUCUUGCGGGCACUUAUAGAUGGAUCUGGGCUGCAUUGGCUAGUUGGUAAGGUAAAGGCUUACCAAGGCAACGAUGCAUAGCCGAGCGGAUAGGCUGAUCGGCCGCCCUGGAACUGAGCCACGCUCCUGGCUCCUACGGGAGGGCGCAGUCGGGUACGGUCCGCAGUGGGCGAAAGCCUGGCGCAGCGGCGCCGCGUGAGUGAUGACGGUCUUCGGAUCGUAAUGCUCUCUUAUUGGUGAAGAACCGAUGUGUCCGUAGAUGUGCCCUUCUUGACGGUACCUGGUAAGAAAGCACCGGCUAACUACGUG
rnacentral:rRNA from 1 species